CUCUGGAGAACUCAUGCCUGAUCUGAAUGCAGUGUAUGCAAUGGAAGAAUAAUGCUGUGGUUUCUUUGUUCUAGGGAACACACAGCAAGUCCAGACCUUGUCUUCUUUCAGCAGUUGUGUUCGUUGAUGUCUUUCAUGGGAAGAUGCCAUGAGGGUGUCUGUGAGGAUGUGUGGAUGUCAACAAGCUGCCAUGGUGAUGGAGUGCAGAAGUAGCUCGAGUGCGCACAGCAAAUAAACAGUGCUUGUGGAGGCUCUGCAGAGCAGAUCAGUCACCUCUUUCCUCUGCCAUGGCUGACAUCUGUCCUGGGUUUGCAAACCAGCCCUCUUCCAAAUGACUUACAGCCCACCACGUAAUGAAGCUGAAUUAGAGACCUGUUCACAGAGCAGUGAAUACUGUUCUCUCACAGCAAAACUGAGCUACACAAGAGCACUCAAGGUGGGAACAAGCAAACAAGCACUGUUGAUUGAAGACUCACCCCAUGUGCAUCCGCUAAGUGCCGUGUAUCUGCACAAGAAAAAACACACGUCCUCAGCCUGGAAUGAACCCAGCAAAGAGAUGAGAGGAAUAAAGGAAAAGAGUGAUUACUGACAACAUCCAGACAAAAGCAGUAGCUUGGUGCUGUCAGCUUCUGCUCUGGCUUGUUAUUGCUGUGCCUCAGAA
ensembl:lncRNA